GGUUUAAUUCGAUGAUACGCGAGGAACCUUACCCGGGCUUGAACUGUAGGCGAACGAUACAGAGAUGUUGAGGCCCUUCGGGGCGCCUAUGGAGGUGCUGCAUGGUUGUCGUCAGCUCGUGCCGUGAGGUGUCGGCUUAAGUGCCAUAACGAGCGCAACCCUUGCUCUCAGUUGCCAUCGGUUAAAGCCGGGCACUCUGUGAGGACUGCCUCCGCAAGGAGUGA
rnacentral:rRNA from 1 species